AUUGAACGCUGGCGGCAGGCCUAACACAUGCAAGUCGAACGAGUGGCGGACGGGUGAGUAAUGUAUGGGAAACUGCCCGAUGGAGGGGGAUAACUACUGGAAACGGUAGCUAAUACCGCAUACCAUCGGAUGUACCCAGAUGGGAUUAGCUUGUAGGUGGGGUAACGGCUCACCUAGGCGACGAUCCCUAGCUGGUCUGAGAGGAUGACCAGCCACACUGGAACGGAGACACGGUCCAGACUCCUACGGGAGGCAGCAGUGGGGAAUAUUGCACAAUGGGCGCAAGCCUGAUGCAGCCAUGCCGCGUGUAUGAAGAAGGCCUUCGGGUUGUAAAGUACUUUCAGCGGGGAGGCGUUACUCGCAGAAGAAGCACCGGCUAACUCCGUGCCAGCCGCCGCGGUAAUUC
rnacentral:rRNA from 1 species